rnacentral:misc_RNA from 1 species
CUGACCAAAACAGAACCGCGCACGCGUCAUCUACCCCGCCGAGCGGCGGCAUYGUYCGUCGCUCGGCCAAGUCCUCGACARCCUCCCCUCCUYGGAGUGGGGGCUCGGGGUAAAAGAACCCACGGCGCCGAAGGCGUCAAGGAACACUGUGCCUAGCYCGGGGACGCGGUUGGCUUGCURGCCGCCCCCCGUGCUGCAAAGYUAUUUAAUCCACACGACUCUCGGCAACGGAUAUCUCGGCUCUCGCAUCGAUGAAGAACGUAGCGAAAUGCGAUACCUGGUGUGAAUUGCAGAAUCCCGCGAACCAUCGAGUCUUUGAACGCAAGUUGCGCCCGAGGCCAUUCGGCCGAGGGCACGCCUGCCUGGGCGUCACGCUAAACACGCUCCCACCCCAUCUUCGGGGUUUGGGAUGCGGCAUUUGGCCCCCCGUCACGCAAGGGGCGGUGGGCCGAAGAUAYGGCUGCCGGUGUAUCGUGCCGGACACAGCGCGUGGUAGGCGACCUCGCUUUACUUACCGCAGUGCAUCUGGCGCGUAGCCGGCGUGAUGGCCUUGAAAGACCCUUUAAACGGUGCGCAUGACGCUCCGACC